UGGAAGCAAGCCUCCUGUCUCAGCC
rnacentral:piRNA from 1 species